rnacentral:rRNA from 1 species
GCCAGACUCCUACGGGAGGCAGCAGUGGGGAAUAUUGCACAAUGGGGGGAACCCUGAUGCAGCGACGCCGCGUGGGCGAGGAAGUAUUUCGGUAUGUAAAGCCCUAUCGGCAGGGAAGAAGAAAUGACGGUACCUGAAUAAGAAGCACCGGCUAAAUACGUGCCAGCAGCCGCGGUAAUACGUAUGGUGCAAGCGUCAUCCGGAUUUACUGGGCGUAAAGGGAGCGCAGGCGGCGCGCCAAGUCUGAUGUGAAACCCCGGGGCUCAACCCCGGGCAUGCAUUGGAACUGUGUAGCUGGAGUGUCGGAGAGGCAGGCGGAAUUCCUAGUGUAGCGGUGAAAUGCGUAGAUAUUAGGAGGAACACCAGUGGCGAAGGCGGCCUGCUGGACGAUGACUGACGUUGAGGCUCGAAAGCGUGGGGAGCAAACAGGAUUAGAUACCCCCGUAU